ensembl:miRNA
GCCGGGGCCGGGGCAGGGCUGGGCUGGGCUCCGCGUCCGCAGC